AUGCUGGAGGAGGAGGGGAAGGGGAAGCAGGGCAAGGGGCGGCGCUACGGCCUCGUCGACUACCGGGCGCUGCCGGCCUACAUGCGCGACAACGAGUACAUCCUGCGCUACUACCGCUGCGAGUGGCCGCUCCCGCAGGUGCUCCUCUCCGUCUUCUCCAUCCACAACGAGACCCUCAACGUCUGGACGCACUUGAUAGGAUUCUUCAUCUUCCUUUCUUUGACCAUAUAUACUGCAACAAAAGUUCCAAAUGUGGAUCUUCAGAGCCUGCAGAAUUUACCUGAUAUACUUAGGAAUGCUGAUCUUCAUAAGAUUCAGGCAGAGCUUGCGGCAUGCCUUCCUUCAUUACCUCACUUUUCUGAUCUGCAAAAGAUGAAGGAUGAAUUGAGAAGCUCAUGGAAUUCUAUCGAUGUGCUUCCGUCAAUAUCUCGUUGGCGUCUCUUGGAAUUACUCUCAAAUUGCUUGCCUGACAGAUUUACCCAUUCCAACGAAACUAAUCUUUCUGUUCUUGAAAGCAUGAAGGAGGAUAUUGUAACUGUAAUUGCACCACACUUUAUUAGGCCGAUCUCUAGGUGGCCGUUCUUUGCCUUCUUGGGAGGAGCCAUGUUUUGCCUUCUUGCCAGCAGCACAUGCCACCUUCUGUCCUGCCACUCUCGCCGCCUUGCAUAUAUCAUGCUUCGGCUCGACUAUGCGGGCAUUGCAGCUCUUAUCGCCACUUCUUUCUACCCUCCAGUAUACUACUCUUUCCUGUGCCAUCCUUUCUUUUGCAACCUGUACCUCAGCUUCAUAACUAUUCUAGGAUUAGCAACUAUUGCGUUCUCUCUGCUCCCGGUCUUCCAGAACCCGGAAUUCCGAACUAUACGGGCGUGCCUCUUCUUUGGCAUGGGAGCUUCAGGUGUGAUCCCUGUUUUUCACAAGUUGAUCCUUUUUUGGCACCAACCAGAGGCACUGAUCACUACCGGAUAUGAAAUUUUGAUGGGGCUGUUCUACGGUGUUGGAGCAUUGGUGUACGCGACUCGGGUGCCUGAACGCUGGAUGCCCGGGAAGUUUGACAUUGCUGGGCACAGCCACCAGCUCUUCCAUGUCUUGGUCGUUGCUGGAGCCUACACCCACUACCAUGCAGGGCUGUUGUACCUCAAGUGGAGAGAUCAGCAGGGCUGCUAA
rnacentral:rRNA from 1 species